rnacentral:rRNA from 1 species
AUUGAACGCUGGCGGCAUGCUUUACACAUGCAAGUCGAACGGCAGCGCGGGCUUCGGCCUGGCGGCGAGUGGCGAACGGGUGAGUAAUGCAUCGGAACGUGCCCAGUAGUGGGGGAUAGCCCGGCGAAAGCCGGAUUAAUACCGCAUACGACCUGAGGGUGAAAGCGGGGGACCGAAAGGCCUCGCGCUAUUGGAGCGGCCGAUGUCGGAUUAGCUAGUUGGUGGGGUAAAGGCUUACCAAGGCGACGAUCCGUAGCUGGUCUGAGAGGACGACCAGCCACACUGGGACUGAGACACGGCCCAGACUCCUACGGGAGGCAGCAGUGGGGAAUUUUGGACAAUGGGGGCAACCCUGAUCCAGCCAUGCCGCGUGCGGGAAGAAGGCCUUCGGGUUGUAAACCGCUUUUGUUCGGGAAGAAAUCCUCUGGGCUAAUACCCCGGGGGGAUGACGGUACCGGAAAAAUAAGCACCGGCUAACUACGUG